rnacentral:rRNA from 1 species
GAUGAACGCUGGCGGCGUGCCUAAUACAUGCAAGUCGAGCGAACGGACGAGAAGCUUGCUUCUCUGAUGUUAGCGGCGGACGGGUGAGUAACACGUGGAUACCCUACCUAUAAGACUGGGAUAACUUCGGGACACCGGAGCUAAUACCGUAUAAUAUUUUGAACCGCAUGGUUCAAAAGUGAAAGACGGUCUUGCUGUCACUUAUAGAUGGAUCCGCGCUGCAUUAGCUAGUUGGUAAGGUAACGGCUUACCAAGGCAACGAUGCAUAGCCGACCUGAGAGGGUGAUCGGCCACACUGGAACUGAGACACGGUCCAGACUCCUACGGGAGGCAGCAGUAGGGAAUCUUCCGCAAUGGGCGAAAGCCUGACGGAGCAACGCCGCGUGAGUGAUGAAGGUCUUCGGAUCGUAAAACUCUGUUAUGAGGGAAGAACAUAUGUGUAAGUAACUGUGCACAUCUUGACGGUACCUAAUCAGAAAGCCACGGCUAACUACGUG